rnacentral:rRNA from 1 species
AUUGAACGCUGGCGGCAGGCCUAACACAUGCAAGUCGAGCGGCAGCGGGAAAGUAGCUUGCUACUUUUGCCGGCGAGCGGCGGACGGGUGAGUAAUGCCUGGGAAAUUGCCCAGUCGAGGGGGAUAACAGUUGGAAACGACUGCUAAUACCGCAUACGCCCUACGGGGGAAAGCAGGGGACCUUCGGGCCUUGCGCGAUUGGAUAUGCCCAGGUGGGAUUAGCUAGUUGGUGAGGUAAUGGCUCACCAAGGCGACGAUCCCUAGCUGGUCGGAGAGGAUGAACAGCCACACUGGAACUGAGACACGGUCCAGACUCCUACGGGAGGCAGCAGUGGGGAAUAUUGCACAAUGGGGGAAACCCUGAUGCAGCCAUGCCGCGUGUGUGAAGAAGGCCUUCGGGUUGUAAAGCACUUUCAGCGAGGAGGAAAGGUUGAUGCCUAAUACGUAUCAACUGUGACGUUACUCGCAGAAGAAGCACCGGCUAACUCCGUGCCAGCAGCCGCGGUAACAC